CCGAGUUUACAACUCCCAAACCCCUGUGAACAUACCUAUACGUUGCCUCGGCGGAUCAGCCCGCGCCCCCGUAAAAAGGGACGGCCCGCCCGAGGACCCCUAAACUCUGUUUUUUAAGUGGAACUUCUGAGUAAAAACAAACAAAUAAAAUCAA
rnacentral:misc_RNA from 1 species